AGUGAACGCUGGCGGUAGGCCUAACACAUGCAAGUCGAACGGCAGCACAGUAAGAGCCUGCUCUUACGGGUGGCGAGUGCGGACGGGUGAGGAAUACAUCGGAAUCUACUUUUUCGUGGGGGAUAACGUAGGGAAACUUACGCUAAUACCGCAUACGACCUACGGGUGAAAGCAGGGGAUCUUCGGACCUUGCGCGAUUGAAUGAGCCGAUGUCGGAUUAGCUAGUUGGCGGGGUAAAGGCCCACCAAGGCGACGAUCCGUAGCUGGUCUGAGAGGAUGAUCAGCCACACUGGGACUGAGACACGGUCCAGACUCCUACGGGAGGCAGCAGUGGGGAAUAUUGGACAAUGGGCGCAAGCCUGAUCCAGCCAUACCGCGUGGGUGAAGAAGGCCUUCGGGUUGUAAAGCCCUUUUGUUGGGAAAGAAAAGCAGCAGGUUAAUACCCCGCUGUUCUGACGGUACCCAAAGAAUAAGCACCGGCUAACUUCGUG
rnacentral:rRNA from 1 species